UACGUAGGGUGCGAGCGUUAAUCGGAAUUACUGGGCGUAAAGCGUGCGCAGGCGGUGCACCAAGCUCGAUGUGAAAGCCCCGGGCUUAACCUGGGAAUUGCAUUGAGGACUGGUGUGCUCGAGUGCGGCAGAGGGGGGUGGAAUUCCACGUGUAGCAGUGAAAUGCGUAGAGAUCUGGAGGAACACCGAUGGCGAAGGCAGCCCUCUGGGCCAACACUGACGCUCAUGCACGAAAGCGUGGGGAGCAAACAGG
rnacentral:rRNA from 1 species